GCUCCUUGGUGAUUCAUAAUAACUUUAACGAAUCGGCAUGGCCUUGUGCCGGCGAUGGUUCAUUCAAAUUUCUGCCCUAUCAACUUUCGAUGGUAGGAUAGUGGCCUACCAUGGUUUCAACGGGUAACGGGGAAUUAGGGUUCUAUUCCGGAGAGGGAGCCUGAGAAACGGCUACCACAUCCAAGGAAGGCAGCAGGCGCGCAAAUUACCCAAUCCCGACACGGGGAGGUAGUGACAAUAAAUACUUGAUACAGGGCUCUUUUGAGUCUUGUAAUUGGAAUGAGUACAAUUUAAAUCCUUUAACGAGGAACAAUUGGAGGGCAAGUCUGGUGCCAGCAGCCGCGGUAAUUCCAGCUCCAAUAGCGUAUAUUAAAGUUGUUGCAGUUAAAAAGCUCGUAGUUGAACCUUGGGCCUGGCUGGCCGGUCCGCCUCACCGCGUGCACUGGUCCGGCCGGGCCUUUCCUCCUGGGGAGCCGCAUGCCCUUCACUGGGUGUGWCGGGGAACCA
rnacentral:rRNA from 1 species